UGGGGAAUUUUGGACAAUGGGCGCAAGCCUGAUCCAGCCAUGCCGCGUGCGGGAAGAAGGCCUUCGGGUUGUAAACCGCUUUUGUCAGGGAAGAAACGAGUUUCUCUAAUACAGAGACUUAAUGACGGUACCUGAAGAAUAAGCACCGGCUAACUACGUGCCAGCAGCCGCGGUAAUACGUAGGGUGCAAGCGUUAAUCGGAAUUACUGGGCGUAAAGCGUGCGCAGGCGGUUAUGCAAGACAGAUGUGAAAUCCCCGGGCUCAACCUGGGACCUGCAUUUGUGACUGUAUAGCUAGAGUACGGUAGAGGGGGAUGGAAUUCCGCGUGUAGCAGUGAAAUGCGUAGAUAUGCGGAGGAACACCGAUGGCGAAGGCAAUCCCCUGGACCUGUACUGACGCUCAUGCACGAAAGCGUGGGGAGCAAACA
rnacentral:rRNA from 1 species